GGCUGGAUAGCUCAGUUGGUAGAGCAGCGGAUUGAAAAUCCGCGUGUCGCAGGUUCGAUUCCCGCUCCAGCCACCA
rnacentral:tRNA from 2 species